GAUAAAGGCACGGCCAGCAGUAUAGAUGACCGCAACAAGUUACAACGGGGUCCCUAGCCAAAUCCAGACAUAUAUUGCAAUCAAAGAAACUCCCAUCAGAGUCACUGCCCUUUUCAACAUCACUCUUAUUCUCUGUUUUUUCAUCUUCCAAAGCUUCAUUAUUAAUUUCACACGUUUUCCCUGUCUCAUUUUUCCUUUCCUCAGCAGUAAUACUACCCUCACCAGGCUGUAAUGGCUGCAA
rnacentral:misc_RNA from 1 species